rnacentral:rRNA from 1 species
UACGGGGGGGGCAAGCGUUGUUCGGAAUUACUGGGCGUAAAGGGUUCGUAGGUGGCUUGCUUAGUCAGACGUGAAAUCCCUCGGCUUAACCGGGGAACUGCGCUUGUUACUGGCAGGCUUGAGUGUGGCAGAGGGGGGUGGAAUUCCACGUGUAGCAGUGAAAUGCGUAGAGAUGUGGAGGAACACCGAUGGCGAAGGCAGCCCCCUGGGCUAACACUGACGCUCAGGCACGAAAGCGUGGGGAGCAAACAGG